GAUGUUCAGAGUUGUACUAAUUACCAUGGAAUUAAGCUGAUGAGCCAUACAAUGAAGCUAUGGGAGAGAGUCAUUGAGCACCGCUUAAGAAGAAUGACAAGUGUGACCAAAAAUCAGUUUGGUUUCAUGCCUGGGAGGUCGACCAUGGAAGCCAUUUUCUUGGUACGACAACUUAUGGAGAGAUAUAGGGAGCAAAAGAAGGACUUGCAUAUUGUGUUCAUUGACUUGGAGAAGGCCUAUGAUAAGAUACCGCGGAAUGUCAUGUGGUGGGCCUUGGAGAAACACAAAGUCCCAGCAAAGUACAUUACCCUCAUCAAGGACAUGCACAAUAAUGUUGUGACAAGUAUUCGAACAAGUGAUGUCGACACCGAUGACUUCCCGAUUACGAUAGGACUGCAUCAGGGGUCAGCUUUGAGCCCUUAUCUUUUUGCAUUGGUGAUGGAUGAGGUCACAAGGGGUAUACAAGGAGAUAUCCCAUGGUGUAUGCUCUUUGCGGAUGAUGUGGUGCUAGUUGACGAUAGUCGGACGGGGGUAAAUAGGAAGUUAGAGUUAUGGAGACAAACCUUGGAAUCGAAAGGGUUUAGGCUUAGUAGAACUAAAACC
rnacentral:rRNA from 1 species